rnacentral:rRNA from 1 species
AAGCCAGACUCCUACGGGAGGCAGCAGUGGGGGAUAUUGCACAAUGGGGGAAACCCUGAUGCAGCGACGCCGCGUGGGCGAAGAAGUAUUUCGGUAUGUAAAGCCCUAUCAGCAGGGAAGAAGAAAUGACGGUACCUGAGUAAGAAGCACCGGCUAAAUACGUGCCAGCAGCCGCGGUAAUACGUAUGGUGCAAGCGUUAUCCGGAUUUACUGGGUGUAAAGGGAGCGCAGGCGGCACGGCAAGCCUGAUGUGAAAGCCCGCGGCCCAACCGCGGGACUGCAUUGGGAACUACCGGGCUGGAGUGCCGGAGAGGUAGGCGGAAUUCCUAGUGUAGCGGUGAAAUGCGUAGAUAUCAGGAGGAACACCGGUGGCGAAGGCGGCCUGCUGGACGAUGACUGACGUUGAGGCUCGAAAGCGUGGGGAGCAAACAGGAUUAGAUACCCCUGUA